UGCCAGCCGCCGCGGUAAUACGGAGGGGGUUAGCGUUGUUCGGAAUUACUGGGCGUAAAGCGUACGUAGGCGGAUUAAUAAGUUAGAGGUGAAAUCCCAGGGCUCAACCCUGGAACUGCCUUUAAAACUACAUUUCUUGAGUUUGGUAGAGGAGAGUGGAAUUCCUAGUGUAGAGGUGAAAUUCGUAGAUAUUUGGAGGAACACCAGUGGCGAAGGCGGCUCACUGGCUCGAUACUGACGCUAAGGUGCGAAAGUGUGGGGAGCAAACAGGAUUAGAUA
rnacentral:rRNA from 1 species